AGGACACUGAGGAAAAUCAUUUGUACUGACAAAUCUCCGUUUUGUGUCCACAUAAGCUUUUCAAACUUCAGUCAGGAUGAAGCAUGCUCAGUUUGCAGUAGUCCUUGUGACUAUAUUAUUUACUGCUUGUGUUACACCGGAGCCUGACUCAGGUGAAGAAGAAUGGAAAUCUCUAGGAAAUCCACAGAACAGAAAUCUGUUUUACAAAAUUCUCCAGUCCUACUUUAACGGAAGAGGCAUUAACUUGGUUGGCAUGGGGAGAAAAGACAAACUGCUCGGCAAUCUGGGAGGGAAAAUAAGCUCCAACUAUGACAGAUAUCGUCAGAAGCUGGAAGACAACGACAGCUUUUAUAUGUGAAGAUGUAACUUCAUCAAUUUCAAACAAUCACUCUGUUAUUUUUGUAACUAAGCUGCAAUUUCAAUUUUGAAAACCCUUUGUUGCAUACUUUCAGGCUUGUUAUUUGUAACUACUAAAAUAAAAAUGUGUUAAUGUUUGUUUGUUAAAAUGUGACUAAAAAUAUAUAGGCUUUUUUAGACUAAAUAAUUACUAUGGUAACCUUGAAUAUAAACAAAUGAUAUAGAGCCAUACUGAUAUAUAGUACCAAUGUGCAUUAUGUCAAAAAAUUAUACAGUUAUUUGAAAAAUAUUUUAAUGCCUAUAGAAAGACCCAGCUGGAUUUCAUUGAGUCCUUAGUUGCACAUUCUCUACAUCAUGUCAUAAGAGGGAAGUUGUUCCAAUCAAAUAAUGUGAUACUGUGGAGAGUUCUCUCAAGCAGUGUGGAGUAGUGGUUAGGGCUCUGGACUCUUGACCGGAGGGUUGUGGGUUCAAUCCCAGGUAGGAGACACUGCUGAUGUACCCUUGAGCAAGGUACUUUACCUAGAUUGCUCCAGUAAAAACCCAACUAUAUAAAUGGGUAAUUGUAUGUAAAAAAAUAAUGUGAUAUCUGCAUAAUGUGAAAUAAUGUGAUAUCUUGUAACAAUUGUAAGUUGCUCUGGAUAAGGCGUCUGCUAAAAAAUAAAUAAUAAUCAUAAUGCAAACAGUUUUCAACAAUUUCACAAGGUUAAGUUGGUACCUAUGCCAAUCGCUGUUCUCUGUCUACAUAUGUAUAUUUAUGUUAUCCUGUAUACUACCAUUCAUUCGUAGCAUUAGUCAGAAUGCAAAGUGUAAUUAUAAUAAUAAAA